CUUUUCUCUCCUGGUACAAGUCCAGCACUUUCAUCCACAAGUGCUCUGGGCAGGGAGAACAUGGAUGGGCUGUAGGAGCAGCUGGUUCCUGUGGCUGUGAUCUGGUUCAUUCCAGCUGAAAAGGCACCUGGGAGGAGUUUGGUGUUUUCCUAAGGCACACUUUGGUGUUCCAGCCCAGCCUCUGGUGCCUCUAUGACCUGUCUGUAUCUUCAUGUGUGGUUCUGCAUUCCCUCUCUCUCCCUGUGCCCACCCUUUCCUGUGCAAUCAGAGGGUUGGCAGGGCUGUCCUUUCUGUCAGCAUGAGAGCAGCUGGGAAGUGCAGGUGA